rnacentral:rRNA from 1 species
UACGAAGGGAGCUAGCGUUGUUCGGAAUUACUGGGCGUAAAGCGCGUGUAGGCGGCCCUGCAAGUCGGAUGUGAAAUCCCACGGCUCAACCGUGGAAGUGCAUUCGAAACUGCAGGGCUAGAGUCCUGGAGAGGAAGGUGGAAUGCUUGGUGUAGAGGUGAAAUUCGUAGAUAUCAAGCGGAACACCGGUGGCGAAGGCGGCCUUCUGGACAGUGACUGACGCUGAGACGCGAAAGCGUGGGGAGCAAACGGG